rnacentral:lncRNA from 1 species
AUGUGGGCCGGACUGCUCCUCCGGGCCGCCUGCGUCGCGCUCCUGCUGCCGGGCACCCCGGCCCGCGGCUACACCGGGAGGAAGACGCCGGGGCACUUCGGGGCCGAGAGACGCCGGCUGGGCCCCCACGUCUGCCUCUCGGGAUUCGGGAGUGGCUGCUGCCCUGGCUGGGCGCCCUCCAUGGGCAGUGGGCACUGCACCCUUCCCCUCUGCUCCUUUGGCUGUGGGAGUGGCAUCUGCAUCGCUCCCAAUGUCUGCUCCUGCCAGGACGGAGAGCAAGGGCCCACCUGCCCAGAAGCCCAUGGACCCUGCGGGGAAUACGGCUGUGAUCUCACCUGUAACCACGGCGGCUGUCAGGAGGUGGCCCGAGUGUGCCCCGUGGGGUUCUCCAUGACCGAGACAGCGGUUGGCAUCAGGUGUACUGACAUUGAUGAAUGUUUAAGCUCCUCUUGCGAGGGCCACUGCGUGAACACGGAAGGCGGGUUCGUGUGCGAGUGUGGGCCGGGCAUGCAGCUGUCUGCGGACCGCCACAGCUGCCAAGACACUGAUGAAUGCCUUGGGACCCCCUGCCAGCAGAGAUGUAAAAACAGCAUUGGCAGCUACAGGUGUUCCUGUAGAACUGGCUUCCAUCUCCAUGGCAACCGGCACUCCUGUGUAGAUGUAAACGAGUGUCGGAGGCCCCUGGAGAGGAGAGUCUGUCACCAUUCCUGCCACAACACCGUGGGCAGCUUCCUGUGCACCUGCCGACCUGGCUUCCGGCUCCGGGCUGACCGAGUGUCCUGUGAAGCUUUCCCCAAAGCUGUGCUGGCCCCGUCUGCCAUCCUGCAGCCUCUACAGCGCCCUCCUAAGAUGCUCCUGCUGCUUCCAGAGGCAGGCCGGCCCGCCCUCUCCCCCGGGCACAGCCCUCCUUCUGGGGCUCCAGGGUCCCCGACUGGAGUCAGGAGCACACGACCACCACCUCCCUCUCCUGCACUGUCCACGUUCUCCCCUUCCGCCCCAACGCCGCUGCUGUCCACCCUGGUGGCCACCCCCGUGCCGCAUCCCUCUCUGCUGGGAACCCUCAGACCUCCCGCACAACUCCAGGAGAAGACGGCGGUGACCCCUCCCUUGCCCAGGGGCCCGGAGACCACACGGCUGGCACCAGGACCCUCUGCCUGUUGGCACCUAGGGGCCACGUAUGAGUCAGGGAGUCGCUGGACAGAGCCUGGCUGUUCCCAGUGCUGGUGUGAGGAUGGGGAGGUGACCUGUGAAAAGGUGACGUGUGAAGCUGCUUGCUCCCACCCGAUUCCCUCCAGAGAUGGAGGGUGCUGCCCAUCGUGUACAGGCUGUUUUCACAGUGGCGUCGUCCGGGCUGAAGGGGACGUUUUUUCACCUCCUAACCAAAACUGCACCGUCUGUGUCUGUCUGGCUGGAAACGUGUCCUGCAUCUCCCCUGAGUGUCCCCCCGACCCCUGCCAGGCCUCCCCGAAGUCAGACUGCUGUACUUGCAUCCCAGUGAGAUGCUAUUUCCAUGGCCGGUGGUAUGCAGACGGGGCCGUGUUCAGUGGGGGUGGUGAUGAGUGUACCACCUGUGUCUGCCAGAACGGGGAGGUGGAAUGUUCCUUCACACCAUGUCCGGAACUGGACUGCCCCCGCGAGGAGUGGUGGCUGGGCCCUGGGCAGUGCUGCUAUGCCUGCAGGGAACCCGUGCCCAUGACAGGCUGCUCUCUCGAUGACAACGGGGUUGAGUUUCCGGUUGGACAGAUCUGGUCUCCCGGUGAUCCCUGUGAGUUAUGCAUCUGCCAGGCAGAUGGCUCAGUGAGCUGCAAGAGGACAGACUGUGUGGACUCCUGCCCUCACCCGAUUCGAAUCCCCGGACAGUGCUGCCCAGACUGUUCGGCAGGCUGCACCUACACAGGCAGAAUCUUCUACAACAACCAGACCUUCCCAUCUGUGCUGGACCCGUGCCUGAGCUGCAUCUGCCUGCUGGGCUCCGUGGCCUGCUCGCCCGUGGACUGCCCCAUCACCUGCUCCUACCCUUUCCACCCUGAUGGGGAGUGCUGUCCAGUGUGCCAAGACUGCAACUACGAGGGGAGGAAGGUGGGGAACGGCCAGGUCUUCACCUUGGACGAUGAACCCUGUACCCAAUGCGUAUGCCAGCUGGGAGAGGUUACCUGCGAGAAGGUGUCCUGCCAGCAGGCCUGCUCGGACCGCACCACGCCCCGCAGGGACUGCUGCUCCUCCUGUCCAGAGUCCCUGGAGGAGAGCCGGGUACUGUCCCCUCGUGGAGACGUGGAGCUCAGCAAAGCAGCCCGGAGCCCCCGUGGAGACCCCGAGGCCCCCAUCAACUGCAGCUCCUGCCCAGGGCCCCCAGCGGUGGCUCCUCAGAGGCCAGCGCUCCAGCUCCUCCAGCUCCUCUUGAGAAUGAACCUGUCUAACACCCAGACUUUACCCGUGAGCCCCUCAGGAGCCCAGGCCUCACCCUCACCGUCUUCGAGGCCAGGGGGGCCCGGGGCCUCCCAGCCUCCUCAGCCUUCAUCGGGGCCUCUGAUCCCUCCAGGAGCCUCCUCUCUACCUCCAGCCUCUCCCAGGGCUCCCGGACCCCCACCUUUGACUCCAGCGUUCCCGUCCUCCGCCUCCGGGGCCCAGUCAGCGUCCAGAAGGCCUUCUCUGCCUGCCGCUGUCCCUCGUGGAGCCUCAGCCCUUUCCACAACAGGCCCCGGCGCUUCAGAGACCCCCGUCACUGUCCUCAGGCCUCGCAGGUCCUCUCCAGCCACCUCCAGACUCUCUGCAGCCCUCGUGGCCACAGCCAGCCCCAGCCCCCGGCAGCCCACCCUGGGGACCUCACAGGAGGAGGAGUCCACGGUGUAA